rnacentral:lncRNA from 1 species
ACGUGCGCCUGCGGGGAGGCCGGGACGGGCGGGGACGGCCCCCUCCCCCAACGGCCGCGCCCCGCCCGGCUUUGUCCGCAGCCCGCCCAGCCUCCCCGCGCCUCGCCAGCCUCCCAAAAUGGCCCCUCGUCAGGAAAUGGCGCCGCCACCCGCGCUCGCUCCACCGGAGGGUCGGGCCGCGCCCGAGAGAGCCUCCCCCUCCACAGCUCCCGGGACCCCACCCUGGAGCACCACUGCCCACCCGACCUCGAAGGAGACGCGGCCCAAGGGCUCGUCAUCGGCCGUGAUGUCGAAGAACACGGUGGGGUUGACCAUGGCUGCAGCAAGCGGCGAAAAGCGACAGUGGCGUCUGCAAAGCGGCACGAGCCUCGCCGCGGCUUCCUUUAUACCCGGUUCGGGCCCCGCCCACCACCGAGUCGCGCGCCCGGACCUGGAUCAAUCACAACUGCUUUCCAAACGGAGUGACGGCGCGACAGGCCUAUGGGCGGGCGCGGGCGCGGGUGGGGCGGGGCGCGAGGCGCGCGUGCGCUGUAGCGCGCAGAGGCAGGUUCCCGCCCGCGGGCUCCUACUAGAUGGUUGCGGCGCGGUCGGUGGGGGAAGAGUCCGAGGGCAGUUAGGGAGGGUGGCCACGCAAUCUGGCUGUCCUUAGGAACGCGUCGGGGCCCCUGGUCUUCCCCAGUGGUACCGCGUAUCUUCCCAUUGCACAGAGCAAGUAACUGAGGCAAACAUGGUCCUCAAGGUCGAGCGGCCCUUCAAGGUCGGGCGGGGUCCUGAGGCGCUGCCCUCUCUGCGGAAACUCGAACAGGCAGGCAUCCCUGGGCCUAGAUCCAGGACCCACACCGUCAUUGUGCAAUGGCAACCGCUUCCUGAUAGGUCCCUGUGAGCGCCUCCGUUUUCUUAAACUCUGGGGAACGGGCACAAGCAGCCCCCUCAUUUUAAAGAUUAUGAAAUACUUUUUAAAUGUCCUACUUUCCAAAUAUAUCUUGUGUUUUCUCCAGGAGGAAGCUAUUUAAAC